UACGUAGGUGGCAAGCGUUGUCCGGAAUUAUUGGGCGUAAAGCGCGCGCAGGCGGUCCUUUAAGUCUGAUGUGAAAGCCCACGGCUCAACCGUGGAGGGUCAUUGGAAACUGGGGGACUUGAGUGCAGAAGAGGAGAGUGGAAUUCCACGUGUAGCGGUGAAAUGCGUAGAGAUGUGGAGGAACACCAGUGGCGAAGGCGACUCUCUGGUCUGUAACUGACGCUGAGGCGCGCAAGCGUGGGGAGCAAGACGG
rnacentral:rRNA from 1 species